UACAGAGGGGGCAAGCGUUAUUCGGAAUUAUUGGGCGUAAAGGGCGCGUAGGCGGCCUUGCAAGUGACGGGUGAAAUCCCUCGGCUUAACCGAGGAACUGCCUGUCAGACUGCAUGGCUUGAGACCGGGAGAGGUGAGUGGAAUUCCCAGUGUAGCGGUGAAAUGCGUAGAUAUUGGGAGGAACACCGGUGGCGAAGGCGGGUCUCUGGGCCGAUACUGACGCUGAGGAGCGAAAGCGUGGGGAGCGAACAGG
rnacentral:rRNA from 1 species